CAGCCGCCGCGGUAAUACGGAGGGUGCGAGCGUUAAUCGGAAUUACUGGGCGUAAAGCGCGCGUAGGUGGCUUGAUAAGCCGGUUGUGAAAGCCCCGGGCUCAACCUGGGAACGGCAUCCGGAACUGUCAGGCUAGAGUGCAGGAGAGGAAGGUAGAAUUCCCGGUGUAGCGGUGAAAUGCGUAGAGAUCGGGAGGAAUACCAGUGGCGAAGGCGGCCUUCUGGACUGACACUGACACUGAGGUGCGAAAGCGUGGGUAGCAAACAGG
rnacentral:rRNA from 1 species